UAUUUGAAAUUUGACCUGCCCAAUGAAUAUAUUUUAAUGGCCGCGGUAUUUUGACCGUGCAAAGGUAGCAUAAUCAUUAGUUUAUUAAUUGUGGACUUGUAUGAAUGGUUGGACGAAAUAUUUACUGUCUCAUAUUUAUUUUUUGAAAUUAAUUUUUUAGUUAGAAAGCUUAAAUUUUUUUGGAGGACGAGAAGACCCUAUAGAUCUUUAUUAUUUAUAUUUUUAUUUAAUUUGGUUUAUUUGUAUUUAAUUGUAUUGAUUUUUUGGUUGGGGUGACAGGGAGAUUGUAUUAACUCUUUUUAUAUUAUUUACAAUGAUUUUUGAUUAAUUUGACCUUUUAUUAUUGUUUAUUAGAUUAGAUACCUUAGGGAUAACAGCGUAAUUCUUUUUGAGAGUUCAUAUCGACAAGGGAGUUUGCGACCUCGAUGUUGGAUUAAGAAUAAGUUUGGGAGUAGAUGUUCAAAGUUUAGGUCUGUUCGACCUUUAAAUUCUUACGUGAUCUGA
rnacentral:rRNA from 1 species